rnacentral:lncRNA from 1 species
UAAAUGGUCCUCCAUUUGUCUGAUCUGUAAAUCACGAGAACGAACCUCGGCCACGAGAUUGUUUACUGUUGCAGUAACACAAUCUUUGUCUUUCAUAAGCAUAUCAUAUUUCAAUUUCAUUUUGUCAAGGUUCUUAUUCAAAGCUUCUAUCUGUAUACCUUUCUCAUUAAGUUCUGUCUUCAAUUGAUUGAUCUGACCUUGUAAGUUGGUUUCUUGUACAGCAAGCAAGCUUUCGAUAACUGGUAAUGGCGACAGACAAUCAAUGUGAAUAGCCAACUCACAAGGUGAACAACCAUACAAAUAUCCUCUUCCUUGAGUUACUUGGCAUAUUUUGCAAGCACGCCGUUCACUAUUAAAUUGCAAAACAAGAGGAUGUUUGCGAUGACACGAAUGAUCCAUUUUGAGAGGAAGCUCAGCACACCUCUUAUGCAAUUUAAACCCACAAUCAAGAAAGAAGUAUGUAUACAUUGCUAAUGGUUCCCAGCACACAAAACACUUACCCAGGUUUCCACCAUCGUUUUUAGAGGAAAACGAUGGAUCCUCAAGGGCCACAUGCUCAAGCUCUUUCAAAUUUCUUUCAGCAAUAUUAAAUGUAAACAAAGCACAUUUAAUAUGAAAGUCCAAGCCACAAGAGCAAUGGUAAAUGAAUUUCUCACAUGCUUCGUUACAGAAAUCGCAAACGCACCUUGUGUAAGGAGUGUAAGGUGGAUUCUGCAGAAGCAGGAGAGGAUGGUGGCGAUGAAAAGGAUGAUUAAGCUCCAAAGGUGCCUCGGCACAUUUCUUGUGGAGGUAAAACCCACAGCACUCCACACAGCCAAAACAUGGAGCUGACACCUUCUCCCCACACCUUGAGCAAUCAACAACUCCAUUGCCAUUGCCAAGCAACUGCUCUUCAUUUAACAUCAACAGUGGAUGUUGAUGCCCAUAGUUCUUUAGCUCUUCCAUUUCUCCUUCCUCUCUGUCUCUUUCGAUGUGGUAGAGAAAGAAAAAUUGAAAUUGAAUAACUCAAAGAAAGCAGAAAAUUAGAAGGGGGAGAUUCCAAAUGUUAAUUGGUAGGAGUCUCUUUGAACUUGCUAUGGUACUUUGCUUCAACGGUGGGUUGCCUUUACCUAUAUAUGUUUCUUCUUUAUAAUUACUGUGAAUGGGAUGCAAUGGGUUUGAGUGUAUGCUAAGUACAUUAUCAAUUUUUUUUCCUUUAUUCUUUGCUUUGUGGAUUAGAUAAUGAAUAUUGAUGGCGAAAGUGUUCUGAUAUUGUUUGUGUAAAAAAAUAAGAUAAUAUGAUGAAGGUAUUUUGACUGGUUACGAAUUUUUCAAUUGAGAAUGAUAUCAAACAAUCAAAUUAUUCUAAAAAAAUUGAAUUAAAUCAUUUAUCUAAUCGAAAAUUAAAAACCUAUUUAAUUUAUUCUGGUAUUUAGAAUAGAAAAAUUUGAACAAAGCUAGAUAGAUUAAUUAUACAAUUACCGACCCACCAAUCGGCUCUCUUAGGAAUGAGAAUGAGACAUCUUUAUUAUAGGAAUGAUCCACAUUCACUGUCCUGCAGUACAAACUGAAUCUACAAGCUAACGAUAGAAACAUAAACCAAAAUAUAUAGUACAUUGUUUGAUUAAAAUUGAAAACAUGGUUCAUAUUUGUCCAUUGCAAUGUUCAGAUGUUCAAUAACAUGCAAAAGAUAUAUAUAUAUAUAGUCUAAUGACAGCUUCAAGUUUAUCUAAGCAAAUACGAAUAUAUCACCCAAAACUUCCCACAGAAGCUCAAAUUUAAGUACUAAUAAGUUCAUAAAACAAGUUAAACGAAAGAUUACAUCAAGGGAAAAAGACAAUCCAGACAAGUAACUAUACCGAUACUCAUAUUUAAUCGAACUCAUAAAGCGAUAACCGCUUGUCGUUUGUGCUUGAGGAAUGUCUGAAGCUCUUUAUAACCACUCCUGUAAUGGUCCAGACUGAAUGUAAGCUGUCUUAUUACCUCUCUUUUCUCUUCUGACACAUCUAAGAUCAUGUUCCUUUGCUUAUCCACUUCCUUCUCAAGGUCCUUUAUCUUCAAUUUCAACUCAUCUUCUAGAUUCUUUGUUAGCUGCAUAUGUUCCUUGCUUAAUUGUUGUAAAUGGUCCUCCAUUUGUCUGAUCUGUAAAUCACGAGAACGAACCUCGGCCACGAGAUUGUUUACUGUUGCAGUAACACAAUCUUUGUCUGUCAUAAGCAUAUCAUAUUUCAAUUUCAUUUUGUCAAGGUUCUUAUUCAAAGCUUCUAUGUGUAUACCUUUCUCAUUAAGUUCUGUCUUCAAUUGAUUGAUCUGACCUUGUAAAUUGGUUUCUUGUACAACAAGCAAGCUUUUGAUUUCCGAAUUUGUGGUCUCACGUUGCCUUAUUUUUUCCUCC